AAAAUAAAACAAAACAAAAUAAAAUGAAUCCUAAAAAUGCCUGUAUGAGUAGCAAAUAUAUAUAAAUAUAGAUCUCUGUGCAACCAGUAAAAUGCCCAGGGUAAUCCAAAAAUUGGAAACAAACACGCAUGGGACUCGACUGCUGGAGCAAACAACAUAGUAAGAAAUAAAAUAAACAUUAACCAAAAAAGUCUUCAAUAUCCCUGUACAAAUCACAUUGAAAG
rnacentral:misc_RNA from 1 species